AGCGAAUGGAUUAAGAGCUUGCUCUUAUGAAGUUAGCGGCGGACGGGUGAGUAACACGUGGGUAACCUGCCCAUAAGACUGGGAUAACUCCGGGAAACCGGGGCUAAUACCGGAUAAUAUUUUGGACCUCAUGGUUCAAAAUUGAAAGGCGGCUUCGGCUGUCACUUAUGGAUGGACCCGCGUCGCAUUAGCUAGUUGGUGAGGUAACGGCUCACCAAGGCAACGAUGCGUAGCCGACCUGAGAG
rnacentral:rRNA from 1 species